UACGUAGGAGGCGAGCGUUGUCCGGAGUUACUGGGCGUAAAGGGUGCGCAGGCGGCCCGGUGCGGUGGGCAGUGAAAUCUCCCGGCUUACCUGGGAGGGGGCUGUCCAAACGGCGCGGGCUAGCAACAUGAGAGAGCCGCGGAGAGGGACGUGGAAUUCCGGGUGGAGCGGUGAAAUGCGUAGAGAUCCGGAGGAACACCGACGGCGCAGGCAGCGUCCUGGCCGCGAGCUGACGCUGAGGCACGAAAGCCGGGGGAGCGAACAGGAUUAGAUACCCUGGUAGUCCCGGCCCUAAACGAUGUCCACCGGGUGGUGGGGGUAUCGACCCCCUCACUGCCCAAGCUAACGUGGUGAGUGGACCGCCUGGGGAGUACGGCCGCAAGGUUAAA
rnacentral:rRNA from 1 species